AGGGAAAUACAAACUGUCAAACUCUUUCACCUCAUAUCCAUUAAUUUAUGGUCACAGCCCCAUCAACUAAGCCCAACCAGGAAUCCAGCGGAAAUACUGCAUUAGGUUAACAGAGUCUUUUACUUUAUAAACUGUGAUGACCAGCCCAAGGUCAGGCUACUAUGCAAUGGAACUAUGCAAACUUGAAGAAGUACUGGAAACAAGAAAAUCCAGCAAGCAAAUGGCAGCUGGAAGAAUUAAUCUGCAGGUGAAGACAACUUGCAACUUGGGAGCUAAGAUCUCACUGCAGAUUCUAUUAACAUCAACCCUACAACACUUUCUCUGCUUUAAUGAGAAGAGAGUAUCAACAGGAUGAACAAACCAUAAGGAGUCCCUUUAAAAAGGGACCACCCAAAGAGAGGCUGAAUUAAAGUCUAGGUAAUACAAACCAUCACUUGUGGGAAAUGAAAAGUACUUGAGCAAUGACUAAUGUUUCUAAUAUCAGACACAUUUGAUCUCCCUCCCUUCCCCAAAAAUAAAAUUGUCUCAUUUCAGGUGAUU
rnacentral:lncRNA from 1 species